rnacentral:rRNA from 1 species
GCUGGCGGCGUGCUUAACACAUGCAAGUCGAGUGCGCGCCUGUAGCAAUACAGGUGGCGCACGGCGCACGGGUGCGUAACACGUGGGUAAUCUGCCCUCUGAUGGGGAAUAACUCGCCGAAAGGCGAGCUAAUUCCGCAUAAUAUUCCGAGAACUUUGGUUUUUGGACUGAAAGGCGUAAGUCGUCGGAGGAGGAGCCCGCGCACGAUUAGCUAGUUGGUAGGGUAAUGGCCUACCAAGGCUUUGAUCGUUAGCUGGUCUGAGAGGAUGGCCAGCCACACUGGAACUGAGACACGGUCCAGACUCCUACGGGAGGCAGCAGUGGGGAAUCUUGCACAAUGGGCGAAAGCCUGAUGCAGCGACGCCGCGUGGGGGAUGAAGCUUCUCGGAGUGUAAACCCCUUUCGAUCCGGACGAAACCCCGCAAGGGAUUGACGGUACGGAUAUAAGAAGCCCCGGCUAACUACGUGCCAGCAGCCGCGGUAAUACGUAGGGGGCCAGCGUUGUUCGGAAUUACU